UUUUCCGAUGGUGGGUUUCAUGGAGUUUAUCAGCCACGCAGUCACCAAUGAGUUUUCUGAGUUCCAUUUUUGGAGAAGAACCGUGUUGGUUGAGGCCGGCUUCGUUAUCUCCUCAGUCAGGUAACCUAAUUUCCCUUUCCCAUCGACAAUUAACUUGGUGGAUUGAGCCCAUUCUCGAAAAUUUUUCCCGUUCAGUUUUUCAACCGUUAAUUGGAAUGAUGAAUUCUCUCCCAUGCCUAUGGCAAAGCCAAAUUCUGACUCUCCAUUGAAGAAGUCAGAGGUUGUAGAUCCUCUGCUAUUGGCUUCUGUCAUUAUUUUGGCUGAUUAGUUAACGAGCCUGAGCUCUGAUACCAUGUAGAGAAAGAUUAUAAAUUUCUUCUUCUUGAAUAUGAGCUAUACAUCGCCCCUUUUUAUAGUACAAAGAAGGGAAAAUAAAAGGAAAGAAAUAACUGCCUACCAAAUCUAAAGAUUACAAUAAUCAAUCAAUCCUUUAAUUACAACUCUAACUAUGGAAAUAAAUAAUCCCUAAAAAUCGUGAUUUCAUCAGUACUUUUCAGAAAAUCGUGUGUCGGCGUAUUUGAGACGUAUUGUGUCGGACACGUGUUCGUGUCGGUGCAUCAUAAAUAAUUAUUUAGUAAUGUAAACUAUGUUCAUUGAUUCAUAUAAUGUUUUAUAAAUGCGAACUUGGAAAGUGCAUUAAGCAUCUUCCUUUUAGGUUCAAUAAAAUCUAUUGUAUUAUACACACUUUGCAAAUUAUGCUGAACACUUUAAUUAUACAAAUGCAUAUGGAAUUCUUGGUACUUAGUGAAUUCCUUGUCUUUCGUGAGUAGUUGGUUUCUGUAAUUAUAACUAUUCUAACAAAUUUAAAAUAUUUAUGAAUUAAUUAUUGAUUAAAUUGUGAUUUGAUUGUCUAAAUCACUCAUCCAACUUCAUAUUCAAGUUAUUUUGAUCUUUGACAUGAAUGUCUUUUGUUUAACAUCUCUUAAUUUCUUACCUUACAUGAUAUUACAUUGAACGUUUCCCCAUUAGAUAUAUAUGGUUGCACUAGAAUAUAUAAAAUAAGAAAUGGUAAUAUAUGCUAACAUAGAGGAUGAAUUAAAAAAUGACAGAUAAGAAGUUAAGAACAUUUCUUGCUAAGACCUAACGCUCCCAUUCGUAGGUAUAAUGCAAUUUUAACAUAACACAAUUAAAGAAGGUAGAGGUUGAUUAAAAUGACAUAUUAUGGUUGCAAAUAUUUGAUUUACUGACCUUUGACGAGGGAGUGAUUAUGGAUCAUAUGUGGUGGUGAAAAAGAUAUUCCAGGCAACUAAGCCUAUUAGGAAUAAGGUUUAAAUUGCAUUUGUUCAAUUUUCGGUAAUAUAAAGGUAAAAAUAAAUAAUUUUUCAUUGAACUACUUGACAAAGUGUGAAUCAAAGUUUUAAAUAUUUGUAUCCAUUCUCAAUUUUUUUUAUUUUUUAUUAUUAUUAUUAUUAUUAUUUUAACCAAAAUCUUGAUCUACAAUCUCUUUAUUGAUAUCUUGAAAAAUCUCAAAAUGAUAGAAAUAUCUAUAUUACAAUAUUGACUGUCUAUGAAGCAUUUUUCUUUUACUUGCUUUUCUCGAACAUUUCUGUUUAUUUACUUUUAAACUAGAAUAUAAUGUUGCUUCUAUGAUAGACUAAUUGUUGCACAUUGAAAUAUCUGAUGCAAAAUAAUAGCUAAGGAAUUUUCAUCAACGUUGAUAACGUUUUACAAUUUUAAGAAUCUCAGUACAUGAUUUUUUAUUUUUUUAUGUUCUUUCAUUAAAUAUAAUCAAUUAUUAAUUUUAUUUAAAAAAGAUAGAAGACUUUACCGUUGAUUCUCUUGCAAGUUUUGCAGCUGUUGGCUCAACACAGCAGCUUCCCUUUGCCAAAACUAUCAAGUAAAAUAGUGCCAUUUAUAAAAUUAUGGAAAUAAUAUAAAUAUUUUAAAAUGUCAAGUUUCUAGUUAUGCCAAUUAACAAUAUACAUAUGUAUACCUAGAGCACAUAUAUAGAAAAUAUUUUAGAAAUGUUGUACCAUAAAGCACUAUAAAGUCACAUUGAUAUGAGCAUAAAAGAAAAUUAACUCCAUCAAUUUAGCUCCUUUAAUUGCUCCUAUUAACAGAAUUAUGAUACAACUAUACAAUUAGCUCAUAAAUUAUGCUAGUUACAAUUAUAUAAUUAGCUCUUAAGAUAAAGCUAACUACAAUUAUAUUCCACGCCCCCUCAGGUUGUUUCGAAAAUGUCUUAUCAUUCCUAACUUGCUAACACGUAAGAAAUACAAAUUUGAGUCAACUCUUUGGUAAGGACACUAUCUGAUUGUUUUCCACUUACAACGAAAUGGAAUACACAUCAAUCUUUAGUAAUAUGACUACCGUGCUUUAUCAUGUCAAAGUAAAUAGGAUUAUAACGAAUGUUAAUAGUAACUAUGUUAUUGAAGUAUCAACUCGUUGUUCAAUCGAAUCUUCAACCAUAGUAGUUAUAUAUUUCUUGAGUCAUUGAUCUAACAUGGCUUUAUCACUUGAUCUAGCCACUACAUACUGCUUAUUACUUCUCGAAAUAACUAAAUUUCCUCGGACAAACAUAAAGCUCCCGUUUGGCUCUCAUUAAAACAAAUUAUAAAUUUUGGAAAAGUAUUUUUUUGGAUAAUGUGUGAUUGAAAAAGAAGGAAAAUUUUUUGGUUUAUAUGUAAUAUUAUUUUAUUGAAGAAUGUGUGGUAAAAAAAAAUAAAAAAAAAUAAAAAAUAAAAAGAGAGAGAGAGAGAGAGAGAGAGAAACGUGUUAUAAAUUUAUUGGGGCUCAUAUGUGGCAAAAUAUCCAGCUGUAAACCUUCUAUCACACACUGAAUCAACCAAAUCAACAUUUGUAUUACUUCUCCUUAGAGGUUAUAAUUCAUUGAGGAAACAUGUCAAUUCCAAGAGUACCUUUCAAGUACCCUAGAAUCUCAAAAACUACCAUGUUAUAGGUUUCACAAAGAAAGUGAUAUAUAUGCUCACCAUUAUUUGCAUCAAAUGCAAUAUGUGGUGUAGUGUAAGACAAAUAUAAAACUUACCAUCCAAUAUUUGUUAUAAACCUCUAUCAACUUCAACGCUCUCAAUGUAGCUCUGGAACUAUGUUUUAGAUCAAUUGGAGUGUCUCUUGGUUUGCAGCCUUAAUACAGGAGAUCUAAGACAUACUUUCUCAAUGGUAGAAAUAUCCAUUUACUAGACCUUGCAAUUAUAAUGCCUAGAAAGUAUCUUCUUUCCUCAAACCCUUAAUUCUUGAAUUCUUUUGUAAGAAUUCUCUCAAGUCUCUCAAUCUCAUCAGUAUCAGCAUCAGCGAUAGUAACAAUGAUGUCAUCCACAUAGACAAUUAAGGUAAGGAUUAUUUUUUCUAUCUUUAAAUUGUUUAAGGAACAAAGUAUGAUGAUUUUGGCUUUUAGUAUAAUCAAAUCGAUGAAUUCCUUUUAGCUUCUUGAACUAUGCUCAGGUGAUUGUUUUUGUCCGUAUACGGACUUCUUCAAUUUGCACAUUUUGCUUUCAAAACAUAUCUUUAAAAAGAAGUGCACAAAUGAGAAAUAGGGGAGAAUGAAAAGGGCGCCCUACCUACAAUGAAACUAAAGCCUAUGAUGCUCGGACUCCGGUCUGGGUAUCGGGUACCAGUACGUAUAUAAGUGUUAGAUCUUUUAUUUUUUAAAAUCUAGGAUAAGGGGACAUGAUGAAAAAGAGUCUAAAUUUCGGACACGGGUACUGGUACCUCUUUCAAGCUUCAAUUUUUUUACUAAUUGAAGAUGUUAUUUUGAGUAGACCAAAAUCAACUGUUCAUAAAGAAGGAAAUGAGUAUUGAAUAAGGGAUUAAAACGAAUAAAAUAUAAUUUUCCGAUUUAUUUUUCAAUUAUGAGAAGUUAAUUAUUCAAAUGUUAAGUAAAAUAGAAAAGAAGAGACUUGAUUGCAAUUUGGACUUAGUGGAGCACUAAGUAGCAUUAUAUGGAACCAAUUUUCAUUUUAUAUGGAAUCAAUUUUUAUUUUAUUCAAAGAAAACUCUAAACCACAGAUAUAGAGAGUGAAAGAAAGAAAAAGAAGAAAAGGGAAAGAAAAAAGGAAGAAGAAGAAAGGAAAGCCUAGAGUCGUAACCUUUCUCCAUCCUCUCGGAGGCCGCACUAGGUUUAUAGAGAGUGAAAACGGAUAGAAAAGGAAAAGAAAAAAAGAAGCAAAAAAGGCGAAGUGUCCUGUUGAAACUUAGAUGAUCAGCACUUAUCCCAUAUCCGUACCCAUGUCAUGUUGUGUCCGACACGGGUACUCCGACCAUUUCGAAGAAUCCGAAGAUCAAAGACUAAAGCCCCAACGAGCAAUUGCAUUUUCUAACUGAAAUGAAAUACUAUUACUAGAAUGGAAUUGUACGUCUAAAAUAGUCCUAAACAACUUUCUUAGGAGCAAUUGGUAUUCAAGAUCAUAAAAAUCAAGUUUUAUGGCAAGAUUAGAAAUUGCUAUGUUUUAAAAGAUUUUUGCUCGGUUGAGGUGAUGGGUGAUCUUGUGAAGAUUGUGUCUUAUUCUUCUUGAGUAAUCCUUUAAGUUAUAGCCUAUAGCAUGUAUGCUUUCAAGUGGAAUGCUAGUGGUGUGGAAGCAAUAAUAAAAUGAUUGUAAUAAGAAUUAUGUCUUAAGAAGAAUAUUGAAAUAACUUACUUUAUUGUUGAUUGAAUAAUGAUUGGUGUUAUGAAAAAAGUUUACAAUACCUCUAUAUUUGUAGGCAAGAUAAUUCCUCGUCCUAUUAAUGUAAGGAAACUAAAAUAAGAAAACUAAUAAAAAUCCUAAUCUAAAAGAAAUUGAAAAACCUAUUCUAAUUAAUAAAAUAAGAAAUCCUAUUCUAAACAAAAUAUUAGAAUAAAAGGAUAAAACCUAUUACAGCUAAAUAUCUUAUUAUAAUUAUCUAACUUUUACUCUAAUUACAAUAGGAUUGUCCUACAUCAUUCUCUCACACUUGAAAGAAACUCUUUCCUCGAGUUUGGUUGAAGAGAAGAAAAUUAAUAAAUCGGGAGGAGAAUACUCAAAAACAAAAAUUUCUGUCAAUACUCUGAUAUUUAAAACAUUUCAAUUUCUUGAUGUGCUUGAUAAAUGUUAUAUUCUUCAUCUGUUAGGGCUUGCAUUGUGUAUGUGCCCUCAUGCUCAAGUAAUCUGGCAAACUGACAAUGUAAAUAGAAGCUAUCACAGAUUCAACACUCUUAUCAAUCCCAGCAACAUCUUCUGACAUAGAUGUAGUGAUUUUGAAACAUGAAUUUUUUUCCUUUUGGUAGUGAUCUGAUGGCUGGUAAUAGUGAGGUGAAUAAAAUUCCCAUUCAGUUAGUUUAUCUACAGGAACUGAAACUGUAGUUGGUACAUUUUGAACAGUCACCUAGCAUGUCUCCAAUAGCUAAGAAAACACCAAAUAUUUCCUGCUUAGGCAUUCCCAGUGAAGAAAAUUAACUUAAGGAGCUCCAUUAAGCCUCUAUAGUAACUAAUAUGCCUGCUGAACCAUGUGAUUGCUUCUACAACUUUUCCACCAUGCAGUAAUAAUGUUGACGUCUUAAAAUGCAACCAUUUUGUGAUGCUCUUAAUCUCAUUUAAACUCUGGAUUGGAAGCCAUCUUGUUGAGAUUCCAACCACCUCUUGUAGUGCAUGAUAGGCCUCCUCGUACAUCUUCUGAGCUUUAAGCCAACCUCUGUGAAACUCUGCAUAUACAGCAACUUUAAAAUAGUAGUGAAUAUGUAACUCUAUUAAGCCGAAGUGUUUUUUUUUUUUUUUUUUUCAAGACGUGAUUUAACUCUUCACCCUUUAUCUUUAUAAUAUGUAUUUGCAAGUUUAGUGCAUGCAAUCCCUAGCGUGUUGAGAGAUUGUUUAAGCUCUAACGGAUGAUUUGGUACAAAGAUGAUAAGAUUUUUCAAAUCUGCUUCUGCACGCUUCUUUAAGGAAAUCAUGCUAUCUUUACUUAUGUCAUCUUUGAUUUCUUCGUGACUGAAAAGUUUAAUUCCCUCAUCUCUUGUUGGAAACUUCUGAACUUCAAAUAGUUCAUCAUCGAAGUGCAGCUUAUUUUCAAAUGUCUUUAUUGGAUACUCUCCCACUCAGAUAGGAUACAAAUGUUACGAUCCUUCGAAAGGAAAAGUCUUCGUGAGUCUCGAUGUCACUUUUUUUGAAAACACUCCAUAUUUCCACCAAACCUCUCUUCAGGGGAGGAAUCAAAGUGAAGAUCGGUACCUAAACCUAGAUCUUCUUCCCUUGGAGCCUGUCUCAAUCAUACUUCCUAGUUCUUCUAUGCCAUUAAUAGGAGAUAGCUUAAAUUAAGGGAGAGAUGCAGAAAAGCAAAGAGACAAUGAGAUGCUUGUCUACUCAAGAAGACCAAAAGCAAAGCAGAAGGACUUCACACUUGAAGUACCAAGAGAGUCAGAACUGAUGGUAGCUCCAGAACCCUAUGACACCACAAAGGUAUCAUAAUCCUCAGAUAUUAAUCUUCCCAUUGCACUCAGAAAACAAACUUCAUCAUGUACUCUUCAUCCCAUUUCAAAGUUCAUGUCCUAUAAUGCUCUAUCAACUGAAUUUCGCAGUUUUACCUCUCAUCUUAACAACACCAAAAUUCCCAAGAACAUUUAGGAAGACUUAGAACUUUCAAAGUGGAGAGAGGCAGUGAUGGAUGAAAUGCGAGCAUUGGAAAAGAACAAAACUUGGGAGAUAGUAGAGCUGCCUCAAGGAAAAAAACCAGUUGGAUGCAAAUGGAUUUUCAACCUAACAUACAAAGCUGAUGGAACAAUAGAAAUGUAUAAGGCUCGAUUUGUUGCUAAGGGAUACACACAGACUCUGAUGCACCGACGCGGACACAAGCUCGAUUUUUUGAUGAAAUCUUUUAAAUAUAAGUAUUUUUUUUGUUAUUUACUAAUAACUUUGAGUAAAAAAUAUAUAAUAGCUAUAGUAAGAAAGGAAAAUGAUUAUUGUAGAGUGUUUGAAGAGUGUCGGUAUCGACAGGUGUCGGACAGGGACACGCUACCCUAGUUAGUGUCCAUGCUACAUAGCACAAACAUAUGGGAUUGAUUACACAUAGACAUUUGCACCUGUAGCAAAAUUGAAUACUAUUCGAGUACUUUUGUCAUUGGCAACGAAUUUAGAUUAACCCCUUCAGUAAAUGGAUAUUAAGAAUGCAUUUCUCAGUGUAGAAUUGGAAGAAGAGGUUUACAUGACACUACUUCCAGGUUUCUGCAAAGCAGGCGAAAAGAAUCAAACAUGUAAACUCAAGAAAUCAUUAUAUGGUCUCAAACAGUCAUAUAGGAAAUGGUUUGACAGAUUUGCAAAGGUACUGAAGAGGAAAGGAUACCAACAAGGACAGUCAGAUCACACUAUGUUCUUAAAGCAGUUUGAUGAUAGGGCGAAAACAAUCUUAAUUGUUUAUGUUGAUGAUAUAAUCUUGACAGGUGACAACAUAAUAGAGAUGGACAGACUAAAGAGUUUAGCAGCAAAAUUUGAAGUAAAAGAUAAGGGACAAAUGUUAUACUUCUUGGGAAUGGAAAUAGCAAGGUUACAUAGAGGUAUCAGUGUCUCACAAAAAAAUAUAUAUAUAUACUUGAUCUCCUUACAGAGAUUGAAAUGCUUGGAUGUAAACUAAGUGAUACACCUGUUGAUGUGGAAAAAAAGGUCAAGAAUGUUGGCAACUCUGUAGAUAUUGACAGAUAUCAAAGACUUGUGGGUAAACUAAUCUGUUUGUCACAUACUAGACCCGAUAUUGCAUUUGCAGUUAGUAUGGCAAGCCAACAUAUGCAUUCUCUGAAUGAAGCUCAUCCAGAAACAGCCUACAAGAUACUCAGAUAUCUCAAGGGAUCCUUCGGAAAAGGAUUAUUCUUCAAAAAAAAUGAUAAAAAGGGAAUAGAAAUCUUUAUAGAUGCAUACUGGGCAGGUUCAACAGAUGAUAGAAGGUUAACUAUUGGAUAUUGCACUUUUGUAUGGGGAAAUUUAGUAACUUGGAGAAGUAAGAAGCAAAAUGUUGUAGCUAGAAGUAGUGCUAAAGUUGAGUUUAAAGCAGUAGCACAAGAAGUAUGUGAGGGACUGUAGUUAAAGAAACUUCUGGAAGAGUUGCGCGUUACAUUAAAAGCUCCAGUUAAACUGUAUUGUGAUAACAAAGCUACAAUCAACAUUUCUCUGAACCCGAUUCAACAUGAUCAAACUAAACAUGUAGAGGUAGACAGACACUUUAUCAAAAAGAAGGUAGAUGAAGGAAAUAUUUGUAUGAUAUAUGUUCAUACACGGGAACGAACUGCAGACAUCUUCACUAAAGGUCUAUCUCGACAAAAAAUUGAUGAUUUCAUUCACAAGUUGGAUAUGAUCAACAUUUACGAUCCAACUUGAGGAGGAGUGUUGAAAUUCUAGAGAUAUGAUAAUAUCUUAUUUGCAUUGAUUAACUAUUGUAUUUAGGGAAAUUGUUAUUAUUGUAAUUAGGCAUGAUUCUUGGAGAUUAGGUAGGAUUUGAGAAUAUUUUUUAUUUCCUUAAUUUAGCCCCUCUUGAGUACUAUAAAAAAGGGCACUCAGCUGUAAUGUAAAAUAAGAGAAAAAAGAUAGUUUUUUCCUCUCUUCUCAAGUCUCUUAACAUACAGUUAUAAAUUAAGUUGGUAAGUUUUUUUAUGUUGUGGCAACCUGGUAGGGUUAAUUUUCACGUGAAACUAUAUUUGAAUACAAUCCAAAUUCCACCUUUUAUAGUUGUUAGUGAAUCUUCUUUUAGUGAGGUAAGUAUUAAUUAUAUAAUUUAUACCAAUUCAAGUACGUGACUAGUAUGAUUUGUUUUAUCAAAUUUCAAUUCUAUCCAAGUUUGGUAUACGUUUUCUUCCAUCACAAUUGUACUAUGACUUAACUACUAUUUUUUUUCCUAUAUACAGUGUGCAAUUGUCUAAUAAUUCUUCCCCAUGAAAUUUUACACUGCAGAUAGGAGAGAGAAAAUAGUUUUGAAAACUCAAGUCACGAUUUUAUUAACGCAGUCGAGAAAGUAGAAAAGAUAUUGGAAUUCUUUCAAAAAUUCAUUUUAUUUGAUGAGGUAAGAUACUUAUGUGCAAGUGGAUGUUUCCGUAUACUUUUAUGUUCAAUAAUUUAUGCAUUAAUUGUUAGUAGACUUCCUAGCGCAACCUAACGAAAUAUGAACUCUAUUGGGUUCUUAAUAACGAAAUGUGAAAUCCUUCUGGAAUUUAAAGUACUACUGAUUGAUGUGUCGCUUGGUCAUCGAUAUACUCCAUAAAAAUGUGGUAUGAAGAAGAGUGGGAAUGUCUCGAUGACGGCGUCAAGUACAAAAAAAGGCUUGAAAAUGAACGAGUUUUUGAAUUCCUGGCCGGUCUUAAUCGCGGCUUAGAUGACGUUCGAGGAUGAAUUUUGGGCCAAAAGCCACUGCCUUCCACACGAGAGGUGUUUGCCAAAGUGAGAAGGGAGGAAAGCUGACAAAAAGUAAUGAUGAAGGACGGAGCAACCGCUAUAGGAGACUUGGAGAUGUUGGCACUUCUGGGUAAAGGAAUUGGAGCUGCAUCGCCUCAUUAAUUUUGGCCGAAUGCUGGACUAUUCAAUUUGGACAAGCUGAAUAUUUUAUUGUUGGGCCAAUUGGUGUUGGGUCAAAUAUUGGGUAUUCUCAAAUUGGACAGAAUGGUAUCUCCAACUUUGGGCCUGGGUCCUCACAAUUUGGGCAAACAAUGUUAUCUCAAUUUGGGCGUACAAAAAGUGUUUGCCAAAGUGAGAAGGGAGGAAAGCUGACAAAAAGUAAUGAUGAAGGAUGGAGCAACCGCUAUAGGAGACUUGGAGAUGUUGGCACUUCUGGGUAAAGGAAUUGGAGCUGCGUCGCCUCAUUAAUUUUGGCCGAAUGCUGGACUAUUCAAUUUGGACAAGCUGAAUAUUUUAUUGUUGGGCCAAUUGGUGUUGGGUCAAAUAUUGGGUAUUCUCAAAUUGGACAGAAUGGUAUCUCCAACUUUGGGCCUAGGUCCUCACAAUUUGGGCAAACAAUGUUAUCUCAAUUUGGGCGUACAAAAAAUGUUAGGCUUACAGGUUUAUCAUCAAAAGGCACAACGAAUGGGUUGGACCAAAAACAACAAAAAGGACGACCCGAUGCGAAUACUGCGGUAAACGAGGACAUAAAGAAGACACAUGUUGGGAUUUACAUGGCAAACCCAUCAACUUGAAAUCAACACAAAAUAUUAAAAAUCGUGGCUAUCAAGUUUUGGUCAAUCAAACUAGAAAAUCCAAAGAGCAAAAAAAAUGGAGCAUUUAAUCCCAAGCAAUGAGAACAACUAUAUCAAAUCUUCUCCAACCUCAGACAUCAAGCUAGUCUUCUACAUACGGCUCUUCGAGCUCACUGGCUCACAAAGGUAGUUUCCUGAAAGCAUUAAAUGUCACAUCAAAUCAUAAGAACACCUUGGAUUAUUGAUUCAGGUGCUUCCAAUCCUACGAUGGAUGCUUAUCAUUUGUUUUGACCUUGUUCUAGACUUGCGACUUCUUUCUUAGACAACAUAAGGUACCGAAAGGAGUUAGGGUGUUUGAGCAUAUAUCAUCAAAUUGUAGUUGACUUGAAUAAUAAUGCCUGCAAAAAGUCGGCCCCAAAAAAUUUAAUCCUUGUUGCAGACCUUCAUAGUCAACCUAAAGGCAUGUUUAUGUGCUGUUUUUGAAAGAACUGUACAGCACAAUCUUUUUAUUCUUUAAAUUAUCCCAUACUCUAUAAUCCACCUUACCAAACAAGAUAUACAUUUUUCAUAUAAUAUUUGAAAAGUUCCCUCAUGUAGAAUGGUGAGUUACAGGAUUUGCAAUCAAUAUCAUUUAAGGAAGCUAGAUUUUCAUUUGAGAUCUCACGGAAAAUUCAUGUUCAUAAGUAGUUACGUAUGGAGCUGAGCUCUAAAAUGCAAUUAUAAUCACCCAAUAAUGGAGAGGUUUGAGAGUGUAUAUUAGUUCUUGGUACUUCUUGAUGCAAAAUAUGGUACUAAUCUGUUUUAAUGAAUCAUCUCUUAUGUUGAGAGCGUAGGUGGUCUACUUAAGAAAUGUGUGACUGGUCUUGACUUUUCCAAUUAAUGCAGUUCUCUUCACUGCAAUCUCUUUUGCAACCAUUCUAAAUAUCAUGGAGAGCAGGGCAUCAAUGCACCUAUAAGUUAACUAUUUGCCUUAGCUUGAAGUUAUUAUUUAAAUAAUUCUAAUCUUAUCAAUUUUCGUGGUAGUCUUCUUCAGAGAUGAUUGAGGGCUUAGGCAGUCUACUUAAGAAUUACAUGAUGGUUCUUGGUUUUUAGAAUAAUGCUUUUUCUUUCUUUCUUUCUUUCUUUCUUUCUUUUUUUUUUUUUUUUUUUUUUUUUUUUUUUUUUUUUUUUUUUUUUUUUUUUUUCUUUUUUUUUUUUUUUUUUUUUUUUUUUAAAAUUCAUUAUUCUCGUUUCCUUUUGUAUCUUUUCCUUAUCUCCUCUUCUUGGUUCUUGCUAUACCAACAGCCUUCUCUCUUUAUUCUUCUUCAUGUUUUCUUCUUCCUCUAAUUUUGGUUAGUCAGUGGAUGGUCUGCCACUGUGAGAAAAGAUGACUGACAGGAGAGAGAGUGUGAUCACAGGGAGGAAGAUAAUUGUGAUUAGACUAUCAGCGACUUUUAUCAGAUUAGAUUAGGUAUUUGAGUGGCUUCUUUUAUCAAUCUUACUUAAAAUGUUCUCACUUUUAUAAGUACCAUAAUACUAUAAAAAUAUGGAACUAUUUUUUUAUACAGGAGGGAGAGAGUGAUCACGGGGAGGAAGAUAAUUGUGAUUAGACUAUCAGAGACUUUUAUCAGAUUCGAUUAGGUAUUUGAGUGGCUUCUUUUAUCAGUCUUACUUAAAAAUAUUCUCACUUUUAUAAGUACCAUUAUACUAUAAAAAUAUGGUACUAUUUUUUUAUGCAGGAGGGAGAGAGUGAUCACGGGGAGGAAGAUAGUGUGAUUAGACUAUCAGAGACUUUUAUCAGAUUAGAUUAGGUAUUUGAGUAGCUUCUUUUAUCAGUCUUACUUAAAAUAUUUUGUAAGUACCAUUAUACUAUAAAAAUAUGGAACUAUUUUUAUACAAGGAAAUGCAACUUCUUGUUUUUACCAUAUAUGUUAAAAAAGUACACUUCUAAACUAGAUUGAACUACAUAGAAACUGAGACAAACGUAACUGGAGUUAUUAUUUUUAGGGUCAGGACAUGAGGGAUAGAUGGUUGAUUUUACUUAAGUUCUUCCUAUAAAGCUGAAAGACCCUUGAAAUUAAGCAAAGAAACGACCCCAAGCAUGCCUAUUCCAUUUGUAUUAUACAGGGAGCAACUUUCUAGGUUUUCUUUAAUGUAAUUACUGCUGCUGGGAUAGGAAUUUUUGGUCUCCUACACAAUAGUGUAGUGGAUGGUUGGCAUUGUCCCUUACCCAUUUAUUAAUAGCAGUUUUCUAGCUUAUAUUACUUUCGGGUUAAUGUAAUAUCUCAAGACCACAAAUGAUUAACUAUCUGCUUGUUUGAUGUUAUCACUCUGGAAAGUUAUUGGACAAGAACUCCCACAGGACUUUUAACUGAUGUCCAAUAAACUCAAAAAUUUACUGCUGCUGGUGCCUACUACUUGUAUGAGAGUUCACGUGCUUCUUUAAAUGUGUUAUGAAGUACCUAUACCAUUACGUAUUUUUACUUUCUUUUCUUUCUCUUGCUUAAACGAUCUUGUUUUUUCUUUACUGGUAGUAUGCUUUUCUAGGGAAUUUCUCAUACUUGGUUAUCUAGUGAAAGUUUAAUCCCAGAAAUAAUCAUGUCUUCCAUAGAUAUUUCCAGUCUUCAUGCAAUUUAAUGCUCUUGGAGUCAUUUACAUGUCAAUCAAUACUUAUUCAACUUUUCGCGUGAUUGCUAUUACUUGUAUUUAGUCAUUCUUAUAAUUCUUCUUUGAAACAAUACACCAAUUAAAUCUAUAAUUGUCUGCUUCCUUUGUGAUGCUGACAUUACACUUUUGGAUCUUGAGCUCUUGAGUUCCUGUUAAUUGGUUCUCCUAGCUUGUCGUCAUAGAGCCACUCAAAUCCUACUUGCAUUUGUGCGAGUUUCACUUCUAACAAUAUCUAUAACCUAGGUUUAUUUUUUUUUAUUUUUUUAUUUUUUCAAAAAAAAAAAAAAAAUUUAUUUUUUGCAUUUCACUCAAAUCAGUUCUAUUUUUUGCAUUACCUGUUCCAUUAAUGUUCUUCAACAAAGUUGUCACAACUCAGCAUUGGAGAUGAGAAAUUUUGAGUGACUUAUUGAUUGCCUGGACAGGUUGUACCAGGUUUCAUUGAAUUCUUGACCUUUAUAAUUCGUCUCAUCUGCAUCUUCUGCUAAACAACUUGGAGGAGUUUUCAUGAAAUCUGUUCUUCUCGUCUUAUUACUUGAUCCUUAUUCUUAUCAUAUCAUUUUUAAUAUGAGCAAACAUCCAUCUUAUAAUUCUCAUUUUAGAUAGGUUCAUCUUAUGGAUAUGUCGUCCUAUGCAACACUCAGUCCUAUAUAAAGCAUAAAAGGUAUGAUCAUUGUUCUAUAGAGCUGACAUUUUAAGAUUACAGGAAUUUUCUUAUCGAGCAAUCACUCUAGUACUUCUCCAUUUCAUCCAACCUGCUCUAAUCUUAUGCGUUAUAUAUAACCUUGAAUUGCUCCUUCUAACAUUCUUCAUUCAUUUAAUUGAUUUUUUUAACCAUCCUUGUAGUUUCAUCUUUACAACUUCUUCAGCACUAUUUGGAGGAGAAUAAAUUGUAGUGAGAUAGAUCAAAUAUUUACAUCAGUCAUCUAGCAGGCAAUUCGAGACCUUUAAUUCUAUCAUACUGAUCCUAAGAUCAUACUUGGUUGUUACAUACUUCCCCUGGCUCCAUGAAGCAUCAUAGGCAGUCCCAUCUUACUCGCACAUCUUGUGUGGUCUACAAGACCAUCCUAAGUCAAUGGUAAGGAAUCAGUCUUUUCUUUGCAAGGUGCUUUCAAUAUUAUUUCAUCAGGGCAUCAUAAAGAAGAUUCUGUGCCCUAGAAAUUAAUUCUUUAGGCCUUCGGAAGAAAAAUCAGGGUACUUAAAAGCAUCAUAAAUUAUUACACUAUGCGAUAAGUCAGUAAUACUGCAGAAUGUAAAACUUGAGUUAAUCUGUGUUAUGUGUAUACCUUUAUUUGUCUUUGUUCUUCUUUUUCAGUAACCAAGAUUUUUUGUGAUAUUUGCAGAAAGGACUGUUCACAUAUUCAAGCUUCAUUUGAAGAUGGUCUAUUGCAUCAAUAUCUGUGAACUAUUAUAAAGUUCUAUGGGAUAGAUAACGGAAAGCAAAAUUUUCUCAUCCUGUAAGAGGAUGAGACUCUAAACAUUAUGUAAAAUAUAAACUGUUAUUGUGCCUUCAGGCUUAGUGUUGGUAUGUUUGAAUCUUUUGUUUCAAGUUGUUUGAUUUAGAUUCUAGGUACUUCCAUGUCUAGAAGCAUGUUAUCUCCUUCGAUUGCACAGAAAUUCUUUUGUUUUCUAUGAAAUUUAUAUAGAGAAAAAUGCAACGAAAGACAUUUUCCAUACAUCCAUCUUUAUUUCAAGGUAAAACACACUGGGAGUUGGG
rnacentral:lncRNA from 1 species